GCUUUAUAAUUAAGUGGUAAAAUGCUUAGUUUGCAAAGCUGGUGACCUGGGUUCCAAUCCCCUUGGGUAUGCA